UGGGGAAUAUUGGACAAUGGGGGCAACCCUGAUCCAGCAAUGCCGCGUGAGUGAAGAAGGCCUUCGGGUUGUAAAGCUCUUUUGUCCGGGACGAUAAUGACGGUACCGGAAGAAUAAGCUCCGGCUAACUUCGUGCCAGCAGCCGCGGUAAUACGAAGGGAGCUAGCGUUGUUCGGAAUUACUGGGCGUAAAGCGCACGUAGGCGGCUUGCCAAGUUAGGGGUGAAAGCCUGGGGCUCAACCUCAGAACUGCCCUUAAAACUGGCGGGCUUGAAUCCGGGAGAGGUUGGUGGAAUUCCGAGUGUAGAGGUGAAAUUCGUAGAUAUUCGGAAGAACACCGGUGGCGAAGGCGGCCAACUGGACCGGUAUUGACGCUGAGGUGCGAAAGCGUGGGGAGCAAA
rnacentral:rRNA from 1 species